rnacentral:rRNA from 1 species
GUCGGGAAUCUUGGACAAUGGGGGCAACCCUGAUCCAGCCACGCCGCGUGGGUGAUGGAGGCCUUCGGGUCGUAAAGCCCUGUCAGAGGGGAAGAAACGGUCUUAGGUUAAUACCCUCGGACCUUGACGGUACCCUCAGAGGAAGCACCGGCUAACUACGUGCCAGCAGCCGCGGUAAGACGUAGGGUGCGAGCGUUGCUCGGAAUUACUGGGCGUAAAGAGCGUGUAGGCGGCCUUGUAAGCGGGGUGUGAAAGCCCUCGGCUUAACCGAGGAAGUGCGCCCUGAACUGCUUGGCUUGAGUCCGGGAGAGGGUGGUGGAAUUCCUGGUGGAACGGUGAAAUGUGUAGAUAUCAGGAAGAACAUCGGCGGCGAAGGCGGCCGCCUGGCCCGGUACUGACGCUGAAACGCGAAAGCGUGGGUAGCAAACAGGAUUAGAUACCCCAGUAGUCC